UACGUAGGUGGCAAGCGUUGUCCGGAAUUAUUGGGCGUAAAGCGCGCGCAGGCGGUCCUUUAAGUCUGAUGUGAGAGCCCACGGCUCAACCGUGGAGGGUCAUUGGAAACUGGGGGACUUGAGUGCAGAAGAGGAGAGUGGAAUUCCACGUGUAGCGGUGAAAUGCGUAGAGAUGUGGAGGAACACCAGUGGCGAAGGCGACUCUCUGGUCUGUAACUGACGCUGAGGCGCGAAAGCGUGGGGAGCGAACAGG
rnacentral:rRNA from 1 species